ACAAUGGACUCAAGCAUAACGAUUGUGAGGAUGAUGCAGGACCGGGCAGUAUUUUGUUCUGUGUGUGUAGGGUCACUUUGAGUCAGAAGUGAUUAGAUGGCACCUAACAACAACAGAUACUGCUUCAUUCAUGGGAGUGAGCAAAAGAGGGAGGAGAAAAUCUUACCCAGGAAAAGGAAAAAACAAAACUUCAUGAAAUAUGACCAAUAAGCUUAAUAAGCAAAUGAAUAAUCAUCUAAAGAAUGCAAAUACUAAAGCAAUUUUUCAAAACUGAUUUUUAAAUUAAGUAUUUUUCAAAUUGUAUAAGAGAUAAAGGAAUAAAUAACAUUCAUAAAAGAAGAAAAGGAAUUAUGAAAUACAGACAGACAGAUGUAAUUCAAGAACUAGGGGGAACAAAAAGAACCAAUCAGAAAUCCUGGAAUUGAAAAAUAAGAUUCUUGCUGAGAAAACUACAAGAAGAUGCACUCCAGCAAGAGGAAAAGUAAAUCCAAGGAAUGGAGUGGGGUAUAAGCAGAAGUGGAUGCUGAGGCAGUGGACCUAGAUAUUUUUCCUAGUGCCGUAGACCCCUAAACAAGGAAGGUCUGGAAUUAAUAAUCAGAAGGUAGAGGAGACUGCCUGAUGAAAAUGCCUGUCAGAUGGGAGUUGCAUAGCUCUUGGUAAAGUUCACAGUGAGUCUGGAAACCAGCAAGGUACCUGGACAGAGCAGAAGCAGAGGGUAGAAGUGCAGCAGCCUGAAGUCCCCUCCGUGACAGCUGAGUAUUAGGAGAUGCAGGACGGUUUCAUUUGCGAAUGGAAAACUGGCAGUCUUCCCAACUUUCUGUGUUUAUAGUUUCUGUGUAGAGUAAGACAAGCCACAAAUCUGCUCCAGGACUUACCAGGAAGAUGAAAAAGAGAAAAAACUUUGAGGAUAAAUGGUUUGCAGAUGGAUUUGAUGCAUCCAUGGGGUGGAAGCGCAUGUGUGCAUGCAUCUUGUCUCAAGAAACCUAACAGAAAUUCAGUAUCCAGAGAAAUUACAUGAAAUCAGGCCAGCAUUUUAUUGAAAAGAGAUCAAGUCCUACACCUCUUUGGACUGGGACUGGAAAGGCUUUAGAGAUGUAAGCUGUUACUUAUUUUCUUGUU